rnacentral:lncRNA from 1 species
GUUAACAUGAAGCAACAAGCAGCACUUACUCAAACAGUAGUGGCUCAAGCAGUACCUACUCUAGUUCUUUAUAACUCCUGCCAGGUGAUUCCAACAUAAGGUAAAACCUUUAACAGUAAUAGAUAUACUAUUACUAAAAAUCAUCAUUUAUUAGCUAGUUAAGCUGAUAUAACAGAAGUUCAUGCCUACUCAGCCGGAACAACAUGUGUCAGUGCUAUUUACAGCAGAUCAGGUAGCUAACGAAGUGAAAUGUUAGAAAGGUACUUUACUUUUAGUCGUAGGAUAAAACUAAAAAUCUGAUAUCUACUUUCGCAUUUCACACAGGCGCAGGCGCUAAACCGAGCUGAGUACGACGCGUGGGUGGCGCCUACCGGCUGCGACUCAACUAAACAGAACCCGUCGCAUGGUAUCGGUCAAUACUGAGGCGUGGAAUGAGGAAGAAUCGCAGUAACUCAAGCUGAGCGGUCGCUAGGGUCGCUAGGCGCAGGCGCUAAACCGAGCUGAGUACGACGCGUGGGUGGCGCCUACCGGCUGCAACUCAACUAAACAGAACCCGUCGCAUGGGUCAAUACUGAGGCGUGGAAUGAGGAAGAAUCGCAGUAACUCAAGCUGAGCGGUCGGUAGGGUCGCUAGGCGCAGGCGCUAAACCGAGCUGAGUACGACGCGUGGGUGGCGCCUACCGGCUGCAACUCAACUAAACAGAACCCGUCGCAUGGGUCGAUACUGAGGCGUGGAAUGAGGAAGAAUCGCAGUAACUCAAGCUGAGCGGUCGCUAGGGUCGCUAGGGUCAAUACUGAGGCGUGGAAUGAGGAAGAAUCGCAGUAACUCAGCCGAGCGGUCGCUAGGGUCGCUAGAUGCAGUAGAACGAAGAAGUAGCUGGCAACUUGAAUGCAAGUGUGCAUUAGAUGGCGCCACCAUAGCUUUGCCCGGACAAGAGUUUUGCUCUAUGAGAUUUGACUUCUAAUAUUAAAAUACUUGGACCGAUUCAGGGAGAAGAACGCGCUUUAUCAGCACACUCACGCUCCUUUGAAAGCAAAAGCAUAAUAUUAUUGUUAAUGUAUUUUUUUUUCUAGUAUGUAACUUGUAACGUAAUGUAACGUGUGUUGUCAUGUAACUACUGAAUUUUUGAUUGACAAAUAAGUUAUCAGUUAGUUAGUUGUAUUAGGUAAUUAAUUUAAUUGAAAUUGUGCACACAUGCUCCCGCAAUUUGGCAAUAUCAACAACGUUUAUUAAAGUUUUUCGAAUGCAUAUCGCAAAUGUCAGAAUAUUCUGUUCAUAAAAGUUAUGGAUUGUCAUGCCUUUUUCCAAUGACCCUUAUUUAGGGUAAAGUAACACCAAACAAAGUAUUUGUGAGACAGUUUAACCUUUUGGCCGCCAGAGACUUAAACGGAAAAUCGUGACCACGACGCCACUUUUAUGUUAGCAUAAUUUCUUUACCCAUCCUUAAUUUACCCCCGUGGCGUCAGUGGCACGGUUUUCCGUUGACGUCAUUUGCUGUAUUUGGCGUUCAAAAGGUUAAAAACAUAAAAUUUACCAUAAAUUAAGACCCAUAAAAUUGUAAACAUCUGCGGCGAUUUAUGAUGAUUGUGUUAACUAAACGUAACAUAAGCAUUUGUAAAUGUAAUCAAUUUUAGCAUAUUACUUACCAAAACUCACCUGUGCUAUUCCAUUUCCCUGUUAUCCCCAAUCGUGCUGGUAGCAGCGAAGUGCAAUGCUUUCUACCUUUCCCCAAAAUCUCAGUCCUGCGAGUGCGAGGUGCAAAAUGUAAGUAUUUAUCAAAAAGGGACGGCUGUUUCGCAGGCUAGAUAAUGUUUCCUCCUCUCUUGUACUAGGCCGACUAGUACUCCGAUGCGCCUAUCUCCUCCUUCCUUAUAUCCGUAGCUAGUUAUCAGAAAAAUAAAAAAUAAAUCAUCCGUUUGUUUUUCUUAUGCAACAGGCGUUUAAAGGAGGUCAAAAAAGACAAGUGGCGUGGGUAACAAUUUGAGGCGAAGUAUUUUUUGACUCAGUUAAACAC